UACGUAGGGUGCAAGCGUUGUCCGGAAUUAUUGGGCGUAAAGAGCUCGUAGGCGGUCUGUCACGUCGGCUGUGAAAACCCGAGGCUCAACCUCGGGCCUGCAGUCGAUACGGGCAAACUAGAGUACUGCAGGGGAGACUGGAAUUCCUGGUGUAGCGGUGAAAUGCGCAGAUAUCAGGAGGAACACCGGUGGCGAAGGCGGGUCUCUGGGCAGUAACUGACGCUGGAGGAGCGAAAGCCGUUGGGGACGCGAACAGG
rnacentral:rRNA from 1 species